rnacentral:rRNA from 1 species
GUGCUGAAUUAUUCGCCAAUGCGCGAAAGCGUGACGGUGCGACGCCGCGUGCGGGACGAAGGCCUUCGGGUUGUAAACCGCUGUCAAGGUAUAGAAAACCGUCGGAGUUAAUAGCUCCGGCGCUGAUCCUACCUAAAGGAAGCACAGGCUAACCUCGUGCCAGCAGCCGCGGUAAUACGAGGUGUGCGAGCGUUGUUCGGAAUCACUGGGCAUAAAGGGUGCGUAGGCGGUGCGCCAAGUCGGGUGUGAAAUCCCUUCGCUUAACGGAGGAACUGCAUUCGAUACUAGCGUGCUAGAGGGUAAAAGGGGCAAGCGGAAUUCUAGGUGUAGCGGUGGAAUGCGUAGAUAUCUGGGAGAACGCCGAGGGCGAAGGCAGCUUGCUGGGUUACUUCUGACGCUGAGGCACGAAAGCUAGGGGAGCAAACAGGAUUAGAUACCCCUGUAGUCC